GGGACACGUGGUAUCCUGUCUGAAUAUGGGGGGACCAUCCUCCAAGGCUAAAUACUCCUGACUGACCGAUAGUGAACCAGUACCGUGAGGGAAAGGCGAAAAGAACCCCGGCGAGGGGAGUGAAAAAGAACCUGAAACCGUGUACGUACAAGCAGUGGGAGCCUCUUAAUGGGGUGACUGCGUACCUUUUGUAUAAUGGGUCAGCGACUUAUAUUCUGUAGCAAGGUUAACCGAAUAGGGGAGCCGAAGGGAAACCGAGUCUUAACUGGGCGUUAAGUUGCAGGGUAUAGACCCGAAACCCGGUGAUCUAGCCAUGGGCAGGUUGAAGGUUGGGUAACACUAACUGGAGGACCGAACCGACUAAUGUUGAAAAAUUAGCGGAUGACUUGUGGCUGGGGGUGAAAGGCCAAUCAAACCGGGAGAUAGCUGGUUCUCCCCGAAAGCUAUUUAGGUAGCGCCUCGUGAAUUCAUCUCCGGGGGUAGAGCACUGUUUCGGCAAGGGGGUCAUCCCGACUUACCAACCCGAUGCAAACUGCGAAUACCGGAGAAUGUUAUCACGGGAGACACACGGCGGGUGCUAACGUCCGUCGUGAAGAGGGAAACAACCCAGACCGCCAGCUAAGGUCCCAAAGUCAUGGUUAAGUGGGAAACGAUGUGGGAAGGCCCAGACAGCCAGGAUGUUGGCUUAGAAGCAGCCAUCAUUUAAAGAAAGCGUAAUAGCUCACUGGUCGAGUCGGCCUGCGCGGAAGAUGUAACGGGGCUAAACCAUGCACCGAAGCUGCGGCAGCGACACUAUGUGUUGUUGGGUAGGGGAGCGUUCUGUAAGCCUGUGAAGGUAGCCUGUGAGGGUUGCUGGAGGUAUCAGAAGUGCGAAUGCUGACAUAAGUAACGAUAAAGCGGGUGAAAAGCCCGCUCGCCGGAAGACCAAGGGUUCCUGUCCAACGUUAAUCGGGGCAGGGUGAGUCGACCCCUAAGGCGAGGCCGAAAGGCGUAGUCGAUGGGAAACAGGUUAAUAUUCCUGUACUUGGUGUUACUGCG
rnacentral:rRNA from 1 species